UGAGGAAUAUUGGUCAAUGGGUGCAAGCCUGAACCAGCCAUCCCGUGUGAAGGACGACUGCCCUAUGGGUUGUAAACUUCUUUUGUAUAGGGAUAAACCUACCCUCGUGAGGGUAGCUGAAGGUACUAUACGAAUAAGCACCGGCUAACUCCGUGCCAGCAGCCGCGGUAAUACGGAGGGUGCAAGCGUUAUCCGGAUUUAUUGGGUUUAAAGGGUCCGUAGGCGGACUUAUAAGUCAGUGGUGAAAGCCUGUCGCUUAACGAUAGAACUGCCAUUGAUACUGUAAGUCUUGAGUAUAUUUGAGGUAGCUGGAAUAAGUAGUGUAGCGGUGAAAUGCAUAGAUAUUACUUAGAACACCAAUUGCGAAGGCAGGUUACCAAGAUAUAACUGACGCUGAGGGACGAAAGCGUGGGGAGCGAACA
rnacentral:rRNA from 1 species